UACGGAGGGUGCAAGCGUUAUCCGGAUUUACUGGGUUUAAAGGGUGUGUAGGCGGGCUGUUAAGUCAGUGGUGAAAUCUCCGGGCUCAACCCGGAAACUGCCAUUGAUACUAAUGGUCUUGAAUUUUGUUGAGGUAGGCGGAAUAAGUCAUGUAGCGGUGAAAUGCAUAGAUAUGACUUAGAACACCAAUUGCGAAGGCAGCUUGCUAAACAAAUAUUGACGCUGAGGCACGAAAGCGUGGGGAUCAAGCAGG
rnacentral:rRNA from 1 species